GUAGGUGAACCUGCGGAAGGAUCAUUACAGAGUAUCAUGCCCUCACGGGUAGAUCUCCACCCUUGAAUAACAUACCUCUGUUGCUCUGGCAGGCCCCAUUUCCAGCGGCCUCGGCUGUUGAGUGCCCGCCAGAGACCCCCAAACUCUGAAUAUUGUCGUCUGAGUAAUAUAUAAUAAGUUAAAACUUUCAACAACGGAUCUCUUGGUUCUG
rnacentral:misc_RNA from 1 species